ensembl:lncRNA novel transcript
AGUUGAUCUCUGAGAAGUGAGUAGCUGGAGGCACCAGGAUACCAGCCAAGCCUAAAGGAUAAAGCAAAUCCCUGGACAUGGCUUUUGAUUCCAAGCUAAGAAGUGCAAGGACGACUCUGGCCACUACGUAGAAAAUAGAAGCACCACAUCCAGAUACAGAGUGAAAGUGGGAGAUGAGUAUCGAGGCUCUUGCAAUAAAUCAGGUGUAAGAUGAUGAUACCUUGGACAAGUAUUAACAGCAUCAGUCACAGUAGCUGAGUAUCUCCUGUGAGCUUCCAUAGGAAUUGAGCUUGUCUUUACAAGAAGCUCUUCCAAAUACAACUGCAACUGCCAAGAGAUUGAUGGACCAGAGAAUGGCCUCUUCAUUCCAGGCACUUCUAAAGUCCAAGUGGUCAAAUACCAGCCUCUUUUUACCAAUGUUCCCACCUGUUUCAUUCAGCCAAAUUUCAUUAGAUGAAGGAAGGUGGUGCAUUCUUGAGAUUGAGAAUACAGAUGAGAAGCAGGUUUGAAUGGUGAAGAAAUGAUGGACGCUGUUUGUCUCAAACAAGGACUCUAAUGAUACAACAGAACAAGUCACAAGAAAGCUUGCCUGGAAAACCAUACACUGGCCUCUUCGUGGUGAAGUCCUUCACAAUCCUUACAAACAUAGAAAAUAUUCAGCAAUUCGUUUGUUUGUUUUCCAGUCCACUCUUACUUGAGAAAAAUGCAAAACAUCAAAGACACAGAAAAACCACCAGUCUAUACAGCUUGCCCAUACUAAAUUGUUAUUCAUUUCAGAAGAGUGUACAGUUUCUUUCUGUAAGACUCUAUUAAACCAGUUACUCUACAAUAGCAAACAUUUUAGGCAAACCUAACCAUUGCUUCCCAUAAAGAUAUUUAUAUCUUUAAGUGGUAUCUGAUUCAUCCCUAAGAAAUAUGUUAUCAAGAUGUUUGUUUGUUUGUUUGUUUGUUCAUUUGUUUUUGAGAUGGAGUUUCACUCUUGUUGCCCAGGCUGGAGUGCAGUGGCAUGAUCUCGGUUCACUGCAACCUCUGCCUCCCGGUUCAAGCGAUUCUCCUGCCUCAGCCUCCCGAGUAGCUGGGAUUACUGGCACCCACCACCACUCCCAGCUAAUUUUUUGUAUUUUUAAUAGAGACGGGGUUUCACCAUGUUGGCCAGGCUGGUCUCAAACUCCUGACCUCAGGUGAUCCACUUGCCUCGACCUCCCAAAGUGCUGGGAUAACAGGCAUGAGCCAUUGCACCCGGCCGAAGAUUUUUGUUUUGACUGUUUUUUUCUGAACUACAGGGAAACGAAGGCUUUUAUGUUAUUGUCCCCCUUUUCUCACUAACUGGACUUCCUGUGACACGUGAAGACGCUAUGCAUGUUUAAUAAAUACACUUUGAAUUUAAUGCUCAAGGAAGAUAAGAUUUUCCGUCUUAAUUCAAUCUAUCUGUCUUGAUCUAGGGUGUUAAUUAGAGUACUGCUUCUGUGGGACAUUAAGAGGAAGAAUGUUAUUAAAAGGGAGAAAAGAUAAUUCCAUGGUCAAAUAGAUUUGAGGAAACUUGAGUUACUCAACUUUAUCAAGUUUCUUUCCUACAGGAUUUUUUUCAGUCCUUAAUAUACAAACGUGCAUAUUGACUCUCCUAAAACUAUUGUCUGUAAUAUAGCUCAGUCUAUUUUCUUCUACUCAGAAUAUUUUGUGCAAUACUUAUCUAGAGUAGUGUUACAUAGAGCCACACUUUGGGAACUGUGUUAGUCUAGAUUUACCACAAACCCCAUCUUCUCACUCAUUUAUUCCAUUAAUAAACUCAUAUGAUUAUCAA